ensembl:lncRNA
CGAGGAGUUAAAUUAUUCCAGAAGGCCCGCCAGGGUCUGAUUUGCCACUGUCUGCUUCCUCGUUGCCUUUGAAUGGGACCCUUGAUCCAAGGCUUUCAGAGACCAGCCGGUGCUGAUGGGGGUCCGUGACUUGGCGGUGGCGCCUGCUUGCUCCUUCUCUGUCUCGAGCAUGGUUUUCUAUCCUGCCGGGGAGGGCGAGAGCGCUGGGCAGAGGUGGCACCUGACCCGCUAGAACUCCGAUGUCACUGCUGUGGCUGUUACUCCCCUCCGCAAGAGUCAAGGCGCACGCAGGACGAUGGCUACAUCGCUCAUUCUGGAUGCUGCCAGAUCAUUCCCACCACCUGCCAUUGUGUUGUCUCCAGACAACGGCAGACAACCACAGAAGCUUCGAAGCCCUAAGGCUACUUGGAGAGAAGAAGACUGUCCCUGGCAAAGGUAGGUGAGUCUUGCUUAGGAUACCUAAUGAUUCACAAAAGACCACGAUGACUUGGAAUGAGGAGUAAUUAUGCUAUAGAGAGGUAGACAUCUGGCCCAGGGGAAAGGGCCCAGUAAAGUGGUCUGUGUUGUACAUCAGACCAGAAGUGGGGUAGGAAUGGGCUCUUGAAUGUCUCAGAAGGGUUUAAAGUAUGUUGUCUCUUCUAUUUGUUACUCUAUCACACUUUGUUCAUUUUUUGGUGUGUGUUCCCAUGAGUGCACACAUAGGGAACGUCACUGUUGGUGUCAUUCUCUUGAUUUCCAUGCUCUUUUUGAGGCAGGAUCUCUCCUGAGCCUGGUGCUCACUUUGGUACACAGACCAACAUGCUUCCGAGCUUCAAGAAAUCUUCCUGUCCCUGUCCCUCAAGUGAUGGAACUAUAGGCAUGCACUAACAUGCCAAGAUUUUUAUAUGCGUGCUAGGAACCUGAACUCAGGUCUUCAUGCUUAUAUAGCAAGCACUUUAAGCACACAGAGUUAUCUCCUCAGCCCCCAGUUCAAUUCUGUAGACCCAAGAUGACUGUGUCUUUCUCCUCUGUGGAUGCAAGAUUAGUAUGGUUAGGGCAAUGGUUUCUAUAAUAAUCUCAUCUAAACUCUGAAAUUAAUUUCUCUCCAGUACCGGCACUACUGUAAAAUUCUUAACUAAUCAGUGUAUUAAAUUAUCGUUCCUAUGAGGGGAAAGAUAACUGGUUGACUAUCACAUCAUGACCCCAAGUAUUUUCUCCUUGUGUGAUGUCAUCAUUUAGCUGUAUCACUAGCACUGUUGGGUGCUAAGUAGCCCAGCACAUCAUGUGUACUAUGUGGCUUUAACUUGUUUCUAUGACAACCUUAGUAUUCUCUCACACUAGCAAAAUUCAGAUGUAUGUCCAUGAAUUUGAAGGGAACAUCUCUUGAGAGUCCAACACCAUACCUAUAUCAGCCUGCUUCACAGAGCAUUCUGGGAAGAUGGCCAUAAUCAAUAUUGCUGUAUAUGACUUCAUGGGUGGCCUUCCAUGUGAAACCUUUCUGGGAGAGUCUAAGAUAUCCAAACUCUUCUCUAGGCUAGUAAACAAACAUCCUGCUUGUGGAUUCAUUAUCCUUUGGAGGUCUAUUUAUACCACUUUGUCAAGUUCAUGUAUUAGUAUAUACUUCAGGGCCAAGAG